UACGUAGGGCGCGAGCGUUGUCCGGAAUUAUUGGGCGUAAAGAGCUCGUAGGCGGCCUGUUGCGUCCGCUGUGAAAAGCCCGGGGCUUAACCCCGGGUCUGCAGUGGAUACGGGCAGGCUAGAGGUAGGUAGGGGAGAAUGGAAUUCCCGGUGUAGCGGUGAAAUGCGCAGAUAUCGGGAGGAACACCUGUGGCGAAAGCGGCUCACUGGACCAUUACUGACGCUGAGGCACGAAAGCUAGGGGAGCAAACAGG
rnacentral:rRNA from 1 species